UACGGAGGGUGCAAACGUUGCUCGGAAUCAUUGGGCGUAAAGCGCACGUAGGCGGUCCGAUAAGUCGGAUGUGAAAGCCCUCGGCUCAACCGAGGAAGUGCAUUCGAAACUGUCGGACUUGAGUAUGGGAGAGGGUUGCGGAAUUCCCGGUGUAGAGGUGAAAUUCGUAGAUAUCGGGAGGAACACCAGAGGCGAAGGCGGCAGCCUGGACCAAUACUGACGCUGAGGUGCGAAAGCGUGGGGAGCAAACAGG
rnacentral:misc_RNA from 1 species